rnacentral:rRNA from 1 species
UCGGCUCAUCACAUCCUGGGGCUGAAGUAGGUCCCAAGGGUAUGGCUGUUCGCCAUUUAAAGUGGUACGCGAGCUGGGUUUAGAACGUCGUGAGACAGUUCGGUCCCUAUCUGCCGUGGGCGUAGGAUGAUUGAUUGGGGCUGCUCCUAGUACGAGAGGACCGGAGUGGACGCAUCACUGGUGUUCCAGUUGUCUCGCCAGAGGCAUUGCUGGGUAGCUAAAUGCGGAAGAGAUAAGUGCUGAAAGCAUCUAAGCACGAAACUUGCCAAGAGAUGAGUCAUCCCUGACUUUAAGUCAGUAAGGGUUGUUGUAGACUACGACGUAGAUAGGUCAGGUGUGUAAGUGUAGUGAUACAUUGAGCUAACAGAUACUAAUUUCCCGAGAGGCUUAACUAUACAACGCUCAAG